GCAUCCUCUUAGGGGGGUUCAUCUAAUCAAGUCCGGUAGUCAAUUGUGUUGGUUAUCGCAAAACCAAACAAGUGCUAAAAAGUAAAAACACCUUACAUAAAAAUAUAAAGCAAAAUCAAAGUAUGACAUAAGGUGCUCGUAGUAUUUGUAGGUCUAGUAAAUCGUACAUGCUUACGUGAUGUUAGAACAUUAAAGAAUGAACUACUAGAUCCACCAUGAUGAUUC
rnacentral:lncRNA from 1 species